UACGGAGGGGGCGAGCGUUAUUCGGAAUUAUUGGGCGUAAAGGGCGCGUAGGCGGCCCUGCAAGUCAAAGGUGAAAUCCCUCGGCUCAACUGAGGAACUGCCUUUGAAACUGCGGGGCUUGAGGCCGGGAGGGGGUAGCGGAAUUCCCAGUGUAGCGGUGAAAUGCGUAGAUAUUCGCAAGAACACCAGUGGCGAAGGCGGCUCACUGGCCCGGUACUGACGCUGAGGAGCGAAAGCGUGGGGAGCGAACAGG
rnacentral:rRNA from 1 species